UAAGACGAGAAGACCCUGUGGAACUUAAAAAUCAGUAGCCACCCCACACAAACCCAAACCUACAAGGCUCACUACUUCAAAACUGCUGGCUUACAUUUUUCGGUUGGGGCGACCUUGGAGAAAAACAAAUCCUCCAAAAAUAAGACCAUACCUCUUAACCAAGAGCAACGUCUCUAAGUGCUAAUAGUACCCAGGCCCAAUAUUCUUGAUUAAUGGACCAAGCUACCCCAGGGAUAACAGCACAAUCUCCUUUAAGAGCCCCUAUCGACAAGGAGGUUUACGACCUCGAUGUUGGAUCAGGACAUCCUAAUGGUGCAGCCGCUAUUAAGGGUUCGUUUGUUCAACGAUUAACAGUCCUAUGUGAUCUGACUUCAGACUGGAGCAAUCCAGGUCAGUUUCUAUCUA
rnacentral:ncRNA from 1 species